GUGAUUAAGAAUGGUUGUCUUCUGUGCUGGCUCCGCAAGUGCACGGAGGCGACUUUCAUCCAACACCCUUGUGAACCUUUGGCCUCUUGCUGGCUUCGGCUGGCUGAGGAUUUACAUACAAACUGAAAUUUUUUCUGAACAAUUAAACAAAUGAUUUUAAUAAUCUGUUUAAAA
rnacentral:misc_RNA from 1 species